rnacentral:rRNA from 1 species
AAUAUUGGACAAUGGGGGCAACCCUGAUCCAGCCAUGCCGCGUGUGUGAAGAAGGCCCUCGGGUUGUAAAGCACUUUAAGUUGGGAGGAAGGCUUCACGGAUAAUACCUGUGAGGAUUGACGUUACCAACAGAAUAAGCACCGGCUAACUCCGUGCCAGCAGCCGCGGUAAUACGGAGGGUGCAAGCGUUAAUCGGAAUUACUGGGCGUAAAGCGCGCGUAGGCGGCCAUUUAAGCUAGAUGUGAAAGCCCAGGGCUUAACCUUGGAGCUGCAUUUAGAACUGGAUGGCUAGAGUAUGGAAGAGGAGUGUGGAAUUUCCGGUGUAGCGGUGAAAUGCGUAGAGAUCGGAAGGAACAUCAGUGGCGAAGGCGACACUCUGGUCCAAUACUGACGCUGAGGUGCGAAAGCGUGGGGAUCAA